rnacentral:rRNA from 1 species
CGGGUGAGUAACACGUGGAUAACCUACCUAUAAGACUGGGAUAACUUCGGGAAACCGGAGCUAAUACCGGAUAAUAUAUUGAACCGCAUGGUUCAAUAGUGAAAGACGGUUUUGCUGUCACUUAUAGAUGGAUCCGCGNUGCAUUAGCUAGUUGGUAAGGUAACGGCUUACCAAGGCAACGAUGCGUAGCCGACCUGAGAGGGUGAUCGGCCACACUGGAACUGAGACACGGUCCAGACUCCUACGGGAGGCAGCAGCG